AUGCCGGCGCGUAAAGCGCCUGGACCAGAUGGAUUCACCGCGGAGUUUCUGCGUGCCUGCUGGAGCAUCAUUCGCCAUGACAUAUGGGACGUUUUCGAGCGGCUUUACACGCUGCGCGGCCGCGGGUUCAGUAAGCUUAACCAAGCGCUGCUGACCCUGCUGCCUAAGCGCGCGGACGCCCACUCGCUUGGUGACUACCGGCCGAUAUGCCUGAUCCACAUUGUGGCCAAGAUCGUCUCGAAGGUCCUAUCGUUGCGCCUUGCCCCCAAGCUGGAUACCCUUGUAAGCAGCAACCAAAAUGCAUUCAUUGCCGGGCGCAGCCUCCAUGACAACUUCGUCCUAGUCCGGCAGUCCCUCAAGAUGCUGCACCAACUUGGCGCACCCAGGAUCAUGCUCAAGCUCGACCUCACACGUGCCUUCGACUCCAUCUCGUGGCCCUUCCUCUUUGAGGUGCUGCGCAAGUAUGGAUUUGGGGACCGAUUCCGGGAGUGGAUGGCCAUCCUGCUCUCCUCGGCAAGCACACGGGUCACCCUUGGGAGGCUGAUGCGACACGCCCUACAGACCGGCAUCCUUCAGCAGCUGCAUCCCCGACGAGCCAUUCCGGCGAUCUCUCUUUACGCCGAUGAUGUGAUGAUGUUCUGUCAUGCCACUACUGAGGAGAUCGCCGCUGUCAAAGGCAUCCUGGACGUGUUCGGUACGGCUUCUGGGCUCCGUGUGAACUACGCCAAGAGCUCGGCCACGAUCCUUCACGCCGGCGACUACGAAGCGGGGCUGCUGGAGUCCCUCGGGUGCCCCAUCGUGGCCUUGCCGGUUACCUACCUGGGCAUCCCGCUCUCCACUCGCCGCCCAUCCGCAGCACAGCUGCAACCCCUCGUCGACGCGGUGGCGGGUCGGCUGCCUUCCUGGAAAGCUUGGCUGAUGAACAAAGCGGGACGGCUAGCGCUCGUCAAAUCGGUGCUUAAUGCAAUACCGAUCCAUCAACUACUAGCGCUUGCGCCCCCAAAGAAAACCCUCAAACAAUUAGAGAAGAUUCAGCGCGGGUUUCUUUGGGCCGGCCGCGCGGAUGCCCACGGUGGACAUUGCCACGUCAACUGGCGUAAGGUUUGCCGCCCGCUUGAAUAUGGCGGCCUUGGCAUCCGGGACCUCGAGCGCACGGGGCUAUCACUUCGGCUGCGCUGGCUAUGGCUCACGCGCACGGACACUACUCGAGCCUGGCAGGGGCUGGACAUG
rnacentral:rRNA from 1 species